GACGAACGCUGGCGGCGUGCCUAAUACAUGCAAGUUGAGCGCUGAAGGUUGGUACUUGUACCCACUGGAUGAGCAGCGAACGGGUGAGUAACGCGUGGGGAAUCUGCCUUUGAGCGGGGGACAACAUUUGGAAACGAAUGCUAAUACCGCAUAAAAACUUUAAACACAAGUUUUAAGUUUGAAAGAUGCAAUUGCAUCACUCAAAGAUGAUCCCGCGUUGUAUUAGCUAGUUGGUGAGGUAAAGGCUCACCAAGGCGAUGAUACAUAGCCGACCUGAGAGGGUGAUCGGCCACAUUGGGACUGAGACACGGCCCAAACUCCUACGGGAGGCAGCAGUAGGGAAUCUUCGGCAAUGGACGAAAGUCUGAACGAGCAACGCCGCGUGAGUGAAGAAGGUUUUCGGAUCGUAAAACUCUGUUGGUAGAGAAGAACGUUGGUGAGAGUGGAAAGCUCAUCAAGUGACGGUAACUACACAGAAAGGGACGGCUAACUACGUG
rnacentral:rRNA from 1 species